UCGGACGUGGUGCACGGCGCACACCCACUUUCCUUGUUCUCUGAAUUCACUAUGAGAUGUGUGUGGGAAGCCCGGGUUCGACUCCCGGUGUCCGAA